UUUUGCUACAGUAGCAAGGAAAUGUUAGGAAAAGGCAAAUGAAUUUCAGUAGCCUCUUGAAAAGCCACUCCAAAGCCCAGCCUGUUUGAGGACUUUUGUUUCAUGUUGGUGGCCUGUGGCACUAGAUGUUCAUAAGGUUUUACCCUUAGCCCUCCUUGGCUAAGGGGUUCUAGAGAAAUGGAUUCUGGCCACUUUCCAGUGACAUACCUCAAUGAGGCUCUCACAGUGCAAAAACCUUGGCUUUUAAGAUUUUUCCAGAAAUUUAAUCUGAGCAUUAGGAGCCUGGGGAUGAUGCCUUGGGACCGUAAGACAAAUCAACCCCCCCAGCAUUGCAUGGAAUAUCACUGUGACAGCAGUUUAGAGGUGGCAGUCUAAAGAGCAACUGGUUGCUUUUCUACAAACAAGCAGCAAAAUGCUGAUUUUGGCAUAAUGGAGUGAUGGCAUCAGCCUGUUCCUGUCCUUAAACUAUUGUUACUCUUGGAGGUCAGAGCAUGCCUCAGUUAUCCACAGCUUAUAUUGGCUUUUUCCAAUUUAAAACCAACUAUUAGAAAACAGCUAUUGAUUUAUUUUUUUUUUAUGGUUGGUUUUGGCUUUUUUUGGAAGCCAGUAGGUGAAUAUGUUACCUUUCAAAAGAUGCUUAAACAUGAAAGGUCUUG